UAAAAUACAAAUGUUUAAAUUCAACUUCAUU
rnacentral:piRNA from 1 species